AUGACAGAAACUUCAUCUGCAUUGGCUUCGGCAAAGCAGAAAUUUAUUAGCUUACAAGGCCCCAUCUUGUCCAUGCACCUGUCUGCUUCCUUGGCUUCAGAGCAUUGCCUCCAAGUCCUCUACAGCACAACUUUCCCUUCAGCAUCCAACCUUAUGAUGUACUGGGAUAUUGUGUUGCCCCUCUCCCCUCUCUACCUGUGCUGGGCUUUAAGGCUGACACACCUAUAAACCCCAGGAGUGGAGGGAAGGGAGAGUGGAUUGUCAUUGAGACAUAUGUUCUGCUUACGUGGAGAGUAACUUGAGCAACGUUACCCACCUCUAUGUGGAAACACAGGUUUAUUUAGUAUGUUGAAAUUCCAGACAUAACUAUCUGUUCAGUAGCAGUGGUUCCUAUAAGACAACAACUUCACUGUUCAUUUUGUGCUAGUAGAAUGGAACUUCACGGACCUUGGAGAAGCAUACUCCAAACACUACAAAUGAUGGUUAUACUUUGGAGAG
rnacentral:lncRNA from 1 species